rnacentral:rRNA from 1 species
CUACGGGCUGCUGCAGUGGGGAAUAUUGCACAAUGGAGGAAACUCUGAUGCAGCAACGCCGCGUGGAGGAUGACACUUUUCGGAGCGUAAACUCCUUUUAUAUAGGAAGAAGAUGACGGUACUAUAUGAAUAAGCGCCGGCUAACUCCGUGCCAGCAGCCGCGGUAAUACGGAGGGCGCAAGCGUUACUCGGAAUCACUGGGCGUAAAGAGCGUGUAGGCGGAUUAAAAAGUCAGAAGUGAAAUCCUAUAGCUUAACUAUAGAACUGCUUCUGAAACUCUUAAUCUAGAAUAUGGGAGAGGUAGAUGGAAUUUCUGUUUUAGGGGUAAAAUCCGUAGAGAUCAGAAGGAAUACCGACUGUGAAUUCGACCUCAGCGACCAAUAUUUAUACUGAGACGCGUACGGGCGGGGCGAAAAGUGGAUUAGAUACCCCCGUAGUC